CGACUAUCACCUUUCUCCUCCAACCCCCAUAGCCAUUACCCGAGAAGGGGAUAGGAACAAGAAAAAUUCCGGGGACAUCAGAAGAGUAAGCAAAUAGGGGAUUUGUAGGGUCAAUAGGUGGGGGAUUAACAGGGUUCACAUCCGCCAUCGGAUACAGGAUGAUAGGGAUGAAAAGAGAGAGAUACAAUAACUAUGAGCUACACUAUACAGCAACAAAGGUACAUGCAAGCCCUAAUCUAGAGGGAUAAUAGGGUUACCAGGCUUCUACGCAACCGGAGAAGAUACGGCCUUCAAAAAAUUGCAGAGAAACCCUAGCAUGUGAAGAAAACCCUAGCUUCGUUGUCAGGAAACCCUAGCUUGCAGAAAACCCGGUGGAAUCAAGUAUAAGAGAUGUCGGAAAAUCACCCUAACACCUCGUUGGAAGAAUCAACAACAAAAUAACUCCGAUUUCACCAAAAAAUCAAAGUGGUGGAAUCAAGAAUAAGAGAUGUCGGAAUAUCACCCUAACACCUCGUUGGAAGAAUCAGCAACAAAAUAACUCCGAUUUCACCAAAAAAAAUCAAAGAAAAACUCCAGAAUCUUCACCGUGAAAAAACCCAUAAAUCAGCACCGAUAACGCCAUGAACUCAGACCAAAGAAACGGGGAAGAUAGAGAGUAUGUCCAGGAGAAAUAUCCAGGCUUUGAUACCAUGUAAACAUGGUGAUUCGGAGUUGAAUCAAGGUCAUAAAGAAGAAAAUAGAGAGAUGAAGCAGAGAGAGAAAAGAGAGAGAAAUGAGAGAACAGUUCUCUGUGUAUUGAAAAA
rnacentral:lncRNA from 1 species